ACGCUCGCGGCGUUCCUAAUACAUGCAACUCGAGCGGACAGAUGGGAGCUUGCUCCCUGAUGUUAGCGGCGGACGGGUGAGUAACACGUGGGUAACCUGCCUGUAAGACUGGGAUAACUCCGGGAAACCGGGGCUAAUACCGGAUGGUUGUCUGAACCGCAUGGUUCAGACAUAAAAGGUGGCUUCGGCUACCACUUACAGAUGGACCCGCGGCGCAUUAGCUAGUUGGUGAGGUAACGGCUCACCAAGGCGACGAUGCGUAGCCGACCUGAGAGGGUGAUCGGCCACACUGGGACUGAGACACGGCCAAGACUCCUACGGGAGGCAGCAGUAGGGAAUCUUCCGCAAUGGACGAAGGUCUGACGGGGCAACGCCGGUGAGUGAUGAAGGUUUUCGGUU
rnacentral:rRNA from 1 species